UUAACUAUGAAGAAGAGUGACAGGUUUUCUCUUUUACAGGACAACCCCAGCAAUGUGGAGAAGCCUGGGGCUUGCCCUGGCUCUCUGUCUCCUCCCAUCGGGAGGAACAGAGAGCCAGGACCAAAGCUCCUUAUGUAAGCAACCCCCAGCCUGGAGCAUAAGAGAUCAAGAUCCAAUGCUAAACUCCAAUGGUUCAGUGACUGUGGUUGCUCUUCUUCAAGCCAGCUGAUACCUGUGCAUACUGCAGGCAUCUAAAUUAGAAGACCUGCGAGUAAAACUGAAGAAAGAAGGAUAUUCUAAUAUUUCUUAUAUUGUUGUUAAUCAUCAAGGAAUCUCUUCUCGAUUAAAAUACACACAUCUUAAGAAUAAGGUUUCAGAGCAUAUUCCUGUUUAUCAACAAGAAGAAAACCAAACAGAUGUCUGGACUCUUUUAAAUGGAAGCAAAGAUGACUUCCUCAUAUAUGAUAGAUGUGGCCGUCUUGUAUAUCAUCUUGGUUUGCCUUUUUCCUUCCUAACUUUCCCAUAUGUAGAAGAAGCCAUUAAGAUUGCUUACUGUGAAAAGAAAUGUGGAAA
rnacentral:lncRNA from 1 species